rnacentral:snRNA from 1 species
UUGCUUCAGCAGCACAUAUACUAAAAUUGGAACGAUACAGAGAAGAUUAACAUGGCCCCUGCGCAAGGAUGACAUGCAAACUCGUGAAGCAUUCCAUAUUUUU